ensembl:lncRNA
UUUUUUUUUUUUUUUUGAGACAGGGUCUGGCUCUGUCACCCAGGCUGGAGUGCAGUGGCUCGAUCUCGGCUCACUGCAGCCUCUAUCUCCCAGCCUCCAGCCAUCCUCCCACCUCAGUCUCCUGAGUAGCUGGGACUACAGGCACAUGCCACCAUGCCUGGUUAAUUUUUUUUUUUGUAAAGACAGGAUUUUGCAAUGAACUCCUGAGGUCAAGCAAUUACCCACCUCAGCCUCCCAAAGUGUUGGGAUUACAUGUGUGAGCCACUGAACCCGGCCUCCACUUACCUCUUUUUUUUUUUUUUUUUGAGACGGAGUCUCGCUCUGUCACCCAGGCCGGAGUGCAAUGGUGUGAUCUCGGCUCACUGCAAGCUCCGCCUCCCAGGUUGAAGUAAUUCUUCUGCCUCAGCCUCCUGAGUAGCUGGGAUUACAGGCAAGCGCCACUACGCCUGGCUAAUUUUUGUAUUUUUAGUAGAGAUGGGGUUUCACCGUGUUGGCAAGGCUGGUCUCGAACUCCUGACCUUGUGAUCUGCCCACCUCGGCCUCCCAAAGUGCUGGGAUUAGAGGUGUGAGCCACCAGGCCUGGCCCACUUAUCUCUUAUAGACCCCAAUCCUGCAACCAAGUUUCAUCUCUGACCAAAAACUUCUCCUCUACCACCUUGCUGUAUGGACCAAGAUACCACCAUUGUCACUCAUGCUUUCCUGGCAUCUCAGGCUGGCACAUUCCUCAUCUAUUUUAAUCUUCCUUCAGACACCGUUUCUCUCCUAUGAUACCAUUAACUAGGAGUUGUCCACUCUCUACUUGAAUGCUCCUAGCAGUGAGGAUCUCCCUCCCUCCAGAGACAGCCUCCUUCAGCAGAGUCCAGCUAUCUCCUGUGCAGUUCUUCCUUAUAUUCAGCUCCUGCCUGCCUCUCCCAGGCCCCCACGCUCAGUCCUAGGUCUGUCCCUGGGGCCACCCAGAAGUGGUCUGCUCCGCCUACAUCCCCAUUCCCACAAGGAUGAAAUGUUCCUUAUAGGACAAGGUUUAUCCAUCAAUCCAUCAUUUCUUUUUUUUUUUUCUCAGACAGAGUCUCACUUUAUCGCCCAGGCUGGAGUGCAGUGGUGCAGUCUCGGCUAACUGCAAGCUUCACCUCCUGGGUUCAAGCGAUUCUCCUGCCUCAGCCUCCGGAGUAGCUGGGGCUACAGGCACGUGCCACCACACCUGUCUUAUUUUUGUAUUUUUAGUAGAGACAGGAUUUCACCUUGUUGGCCAGGCUGGUCUCAAACUCCUGACCUCAGGUGAUCUGCCCGCCUUGGCCUCCUAAAUGACUGGGAUUGCAGGUGUGAGCCACCAUGGCCGAGCCAUCAUUUCUUUAAGAAAAUAAAACACCUCUCUCUUUAAAUAUAUGCCUUUCUUUUUUUAAGUGGAAAAGUAAUCCAUGUGCAUUGUGGAAAAUAUGGGAAAUUUAUGUCAAAGUAGAAAGAUUAAAAUUACCCAUAAUUCCAACUCCCAGAAACAACCACUAUUAACUUUUACUUCUGUCUUCCUGUUCGUUUUUCCCAUAAUUGAGUGCAUAGUACAUAGAC